CACCGCGGGGGCGCUGCUGGGCUAACGGUGUUUGUCUCAUCACAAUACGAGUGAUUUUCAGAAGGUGCUGACGACCACUGCCACUGCUCACUCAGAAAGACAGGGUGACAGCUCAAGACACUCUCUUUUUUUCUUUUUUCUUAAGCCACUCUUUGACUUACUCUUUGCUUUGGGUGAGGGAAUCCGCUGAUCGACGGCCGUGUCCUCCCUCCUCCCCAGACCAAUCUGCCUCCUACCACUUCUCUGACCUCUAGUUUAGAGCGGCAGUGCCCCCCACUGAAGGAAUUUCAAACAGAAGACAGCAGCUGCACGGAGAUUUUUUUUUUUUUUUUGGGGGGACCGAAGAGCCCUGCGGGGAAAGUGCUUGGCCUUGAAAGUCUUUAUCUACAGAUAACAAACUUGGCUGGGUGAGAGGUUUUCUGAGAAACACUCACAUGAGCAGCUCUCUUCAGGGGCCUUGAGCCACAUUUCCUGCUCUCUUCCCUCCUGCAAGGACAACCUUCCUCCCUCACCCGGAAACCUCAAACAGCAUCUAAGUUCAUCCAGCUGCCCCCGAGACUCCUCCACUCAGACGCUAUGGAGACUGCUCAGUGUCAACACAGCCAGAACCCGAUUACCUUCUCUUCAGCUCACUUCUGUGUCCCAGUCGGUGGGACAUUCAGUGAAUGGCUGGGCCCAGCGGGCAGUUAAAGAUCAAUAUUUACAGAACCAGGGGCGCCUGGGUGGCUUAGGCAGUUAAUGGCGGACUUUGGCUCCGGUCACCAUCUCGCUGUUGGGUGAGCUCGGGGAGUGCGAGCCCCGCAUCCGGCUCUGCCCUGACGGUGUGGAGCCUGCUUUGAAUUCUCUCUGUCCCACUUAUGAUCG